AUUGAACGCUGGCGGCAGGCCUAACACAUGCAAGUCGAGCGAGCGGCGGACGGGUGAGUAAUGUAUGGGGACUGCCCGAUAGAGGGGGAUCACUACUGGAAACGGUGGCUAAUACCGCAUACUAUAGGAUAACCCAUAUUGGAUGCGCUAGUAGGUGGGGUAAAGGCUCACCUGGGCGACGAUCUCUAGCUGGUCUGAGAGGAUGAUCAUCCACACGUGAACUGAGACACGGCCCAGACUCCUACGGAGGCAGCAGUGGGAAACAUUGCAAAUUGGGGGCAAGCCUGAUGAAGCAAUGCCGCGGGUAUGAAGAAGGCCUUGGGGUUGUAAAGUACUUUCAUCGGGGAGGCCUUACCCGCAGAAGAAGCACCGGCUAACUACGUGCCAGCCGCCGCGGUAAUAC
rnacentral:rRNA from 1 species